AAUACAAGGCAGACGGUUCAUUACCGCUAAUCCCUUUAACCUAUGGACGGAAAUACCCUCGGGAAACUGAGAAUACUGCCCAAAAAAACUUUAUGCCGGGAAUGGUUUAUGUUCCAAAUGAUUUACCGCCGAAGGAGGGGACGGCGGCCUAUCAUUUUGUGGGGGAGGUAAUGCCCCACCAAAAUUAUUACAGGUACGGGUUCUAAAAGAAGUACCCCGAAGAUGGUUACUGAAACACGCACCCAGGCCCUAUGGGGCGCAGCAGGAAAAAAAACUUUGCAUUGUGCAAAAGCACAACAAGGUUAAUCCGAGUGUUUUCUGCUAAAGGAACUUUUUGUCGGUCCAAGAAACACUAAUAAAUAAGGGGUGGGCAAGUUCU
rnacentral:rRNA from 1 species